AUUCGUUUCCCAAGGUAAACGCGUGUGUCGCGAUUCCGCUGAAUGGGUGAUCAGUGAAACAGAAUCGAUUAAUCAAAAUUAGAGACCGGUAGUUAUGGUGUAAUAAAUUUCACUCCGCGUCAGCAUCGCCGGGAAAAAUCAUUGGCUGGAUUUGCACGUGCAAUUAUGGCUGCAGUCCGGUGUAUUUACGUAACUUGAUUACCGAACACU